rnacentral:rRNA from 1 species
CCUACGGGGGGCUGCAGUAGGGAAUAUUGGGCAAUGGAGGCAACUCUGACCCAGCCAUGCCGCGUGAAGGAAGACGGUCCUAUGGAUUGUAAACUUCUUUUAUCAUAGAGUAACCGCAGGGACGUGUCCCUGCCUGCAAGUAUAUGAUGAAUAAGCAUCGGCUAACUCCGUGCCAGCAGCCGCGGUAAUACGGAGGAUGCAAGCGUUAUCCGGAUUUAUUGGGUUUAAAGGGUGCGCAGGCGGACCGGUAAGUCAGGGGUGAAACUUUACAGCUUAACUGUAAACGUGCCUUUGAUACUGCCGGACUAGAGUUUAAGAGACGUAAUUGGAAUGUGAUGUGUAGCGGUGAAAUGCUUAGAUAUAUCACAGAACGCCAAUCGUGAAGACAGAUUACGAACUUAAUACUGACGCUCAUGCACGAAAGCGUGGGGAUCAAACAGGAUUAGAUACCCCGGUAGUC